CGUCUGGCUACCAGCUCCCCGCUGCCCUGCGCUUGGCGGGCUGGCAUCCAGCCUAGGGAAAAGCGGAGCAGGUCUGCGAGGCUAAGUGUCCCAGUGGCGCACCUAGAGGCGAGAAUCCGGAGGAGGAGGAGACUGCAAGGAUAGGCCCAGGAAAACGAAGAGAUGGAGCAGCCCAUGCAGAAUGCAGAGGAAGACCGCCCUUUGGGAGGAGGUGAAGGCCACCAGCCUGCAGGGAAUCGACGGGCACAGGCUCGCCGACUUGCCCCUAAUUUUCGAUGGGCCAUACCCAAUAGGCAGGUCAAUGAUGGGAUGGGUGGAGAUGGAGAUGAUAUGGAAAUAUUCAUGGAGGAGAUGAGAGAAAUCAGGAGAAAACUUAGGGAGCUGCAGUUGAGGAAUUGUCUGCGUAUGGGGAGCUCUCUAAUCACCAUGACCAUCAUGAUGAAUUUUGCCUUAUGCCUUGAUUCCUGCCAUUUAUCAUGAGAUUAAUACUGUGAUUCUCGCUGUUUUCCUUUUCCUUGCAUUUUCCUAAUAUGCCUUUACUGAUCCGUUUGCUGUGAACCCUAUGUUAUUUCCAUGUGUCAAGUGGGUCUUGUGUUGCCAGCUUCUAAUUGGAGAUUGCCUUUGCACUCAGUCUAAGUUUCUGUCAGCAGUAAAGUUUCACCCAUGUGCAUGGAAAAAUUUAAAGUUAAUAAAGCAAUUUAAAAAGCAA